GAUGAACGCUGGCGGCGUGCCUAAUACAUGCAAGUCGAGCGAACAGACGAGGUGCUUGCUCCUCUGACGUGAGCGGCGGACGGGUGAGUAACACGUGGAUAACCUACCUAUAAGGCUGGGAUAACUUCGGGAAACCGGAGCUAAUACCGGAUAAUAUAUUGAACCGCAUGGUUCAAUAGUGAAAGACGGUUUUGCUGUCACUUAUAGAUGGAUCCGCGCCGCAUUAGCUAGUUGGUAAGGUAACGGCUUACCAAGGCAACGAUGCGUAGCCGACCUGAGAGGGUGAUCGGCCACACUGGAACUGAGACACGGUCCAGACUCCUACGGGAGGCAGCAGUGGGGAAUCUUCGGCAAUGGGCGCAAGCCUGACGGAGCAACGCCGCGUGAGUGAUGAAGGUCUUCGGAUCGUAAAACUCUGUUAUUAGGGAAGAACAAAUGUGUACGUAAAUAUGCACGUCUUGACGGUACCUAAUCAGAAAGCCACGGCUAACUACGUG
rnacentral:rRNA from 1 species